UUCACUCUCCCCUACAGAGAGAGAGAGUGAAAAGACUCUUGCGACAAUAGAAAAGAGAGACUCUUGCGGCAAUAGAAAACAAAACGUAGCGUAAUCUUCUGCUUCAACUGUAGGUGGCUGGCCCCGAACAUGGCAAUGUAUCAUUCGUGCACGCUGAGCAAAGAACACAUCGUUUUGCUUCUAAGAGAACAGGCCGCCGCAGUUCAAAGGAACGCGUAGCGAGCGCUCUACUUUUUCACUCGGAGUGGCUCCACCGCGCGCGCGCGCGCCCAAGAUCGCGGAACAACACAGCACUGGAGAAAGUAGAUCCAUCCAGCGAGCAAAGGCCAGCCGAGGGAGAUCGUGUGGCAGCCAUCUCGCGUCGCCACGAAAACACGACAGUCGUUCGUCAUGCCUUGGAUAUAACAACAAAUCCUCCACGGGGGAAUCUGCGACCACUGAAGUUACGUGCAGCACCAGUGCUAGUUAGAAACUUUGCCGCAGGCAUUCAGCUGCAUGCUGCAAGAGGUCAGUUGGGCGCGUUAUCUUGAACUUACUGAAAACGCAUGAGGAAUCCAUGUUUUAUGAUGAAAAUAGUAUAAACCCCAUAUAAGCGAUCUUGCACGCGGCAGCUACAAGCGACGCGACGGAGAUGGCUGUCGCGUUCGCUCGUCGCCUACAAGUCGUACUCCGUGCGAGCGACGAUUUUGAGCGACGCCUCCCCGGUGUUGCCGGCAUGAGGGCUGCAGUCACGCGUGACGCAUGCUUUAGUAAUUUACGUUGAUGUAUUUUACUAAAAAAGUAGCAUAAAAUAUUUCCGGAGGUCUUGCAGUACGUUCUUAUCCUUGCACGUAUAAAAAUUGAAUCAUUUGCUCGUUCCGCGCGACAAUCGGUAGUAUUUGAGCGAUGUAUGUACAUCCAGUUCCGGCUUCGCGCUAUUGGCUAGUCGCUCAUAGCACUUCUGGGCGACGAGCGACGAUUUCUAGAUUUCCAGAACCGAGCCAUCUGUUCAAGCGACGGCCCGUUUUGUCGCUCGUCGCCGUCGCGCACUAAAUCGCUCUCACAGUGUUUAUCCCUGUUUUUGCUCAUGUUGAAAUGGUGUGAUUAUAGGUCUGGUUUUGUCUCCUGUUGCGGUUUUCGUGCACGGUGCGAAACUGAAAGGAUGCUUAUGUCUACGAACUCGGUGAAUUGUCGAGCAGCUAGUUACGCAUCGGCAUCGAAUAUAACGGCUGCUGUGUGGAAUUACAAUUGCAGGGGCGCUUUGCAUACGCUUAUUGUUUUGGACAUGCCUGUGCAUUUGCUAAUAUGAGUUGGCGUGUCAGAGUUAUGUCAUAUGAACAGCUAAAUCAGCCUUCCUCUGGGGGUUACAAGCGUAAUGUGUGCAUUUUGCUAUAGCAUGGCAGAUUAUGAUGUGUUUAUCGCUUGAAUAUUUUUAGUAGAGAAAUAAAAUAUCAAAAUAAAAUGUUGCUUUAAUUCCGUGUUACCAUUCUGUCGUACACAGAACAAUAGGAUGGUGUAAUAAACUAAUAACUGCGGUUUAACUGCAACUUUUACAUGCCUACAAGAAUCUAAAAUGCUAGAUUUCAAACUGCAGCAGUAGUCGGGUCUGUCAAAAAUGAACUCCACUGCGCACCUCAUGCAUGAAAAUAAGUUCAUGCCUUUUAGUAAGCUUAGAUGCAGGCCGCAGUGAACUUGUUAGUAUUGAAAUGUGGGUAAGCUUGCCAUAACAAGCCUUGUUGCCCUUUUUUAUAGGCACAUCCAUAUAUCCAUUGAGCUGAAGGACAAUAUUUUCAUCCCUACUGAGCAUCAUGUUUGCAGCUAUAAUCCUCAAAUUAUGGCUUCAGCAGUGGCACAACCAGGCAUGGUGCGGGGGGGUGGGGGGGCACACUGGGCACGUGCUUAGGAUGUGUCACAAGUGGUGUUUGCGAUACACCAGACUCAUGACAGACCUAUGACGUCUGAAAAUGACCAAUAUUCUAUUCAUUAGCAGGAGUAUUCUAAUAUUCAUGAAAAACAAGGAUGAACUGUGGUUUGUUUUUUUGCUUAAAUCUAAAAAUUGAAGUUAGUUUAGCAGUUGACUGUUGCAGUCAUUUGGAUGUUUUGCAUGCAUUUCACUAGGAAGACUAAGAGCUAAGACUUUUUUAUUGCCAUUGCCUUGACUGUCUUGAUGUUGUUUUGCACCAUGUCCUUGUGUUGACUUUUGCAUACGAUAUUUUUCAGGCACCCGCUUUAUAUAACGCAAGAAGGCAGCUGCAAGGACACGAGGAUGUGAAAGAGCCAGUGCAGCGCGACUUCACGUAGUGUAGAGGAGCCAAUGCCAAAAAAUCAAAAUACAUUGGCAUGUUAUUUGGACAAGAAAACUAGGACAACCCAGGACGUGCAUUUCUCAGCACCCAGUCAACUGCCAAAAGUGACUCAAACACAGGCCACCAGUGGAACUCGGCUGUACCACUGCAGUGCUGCGGAAAUUGCCUUCACCAGCGGCUUUGCAACAGCUGUUUCGCAGCAUGUCGGAGACAAUGCCUACGAAAUUAUUGGCCCUGAUCAUGAGAGCCCUCAAGGGGCAAACAACAUCUCUGUUGCAGAAGUGAGCCCGGUACCACUUGGAAGUUACCAUGACAGAUGACACGGCAGCAAUAGAUACAGAGACUGCCACGUCUACUGCAGCUGCAACAGUGUACGAGGCAAGCAGCAGCGCGUCAGCAGCAGUGUCAGAAGGAACCACACCAGGCCUGGUAGAGCAACAUGUGUGCUAUCACUGACUUUUUUUGUAGUGGAUACAACUCAUUUGCUCAACAUACAAAAGCUUUUUCACCACGACUGUGAGCCAGUGUUAUUGUGCAGCAAGUGCAAGACUAAGUUAAGUGUUAUAGCACAGUACAAGCAUCACUUUAACAUAUGAAAACAUAUUACAGUUGUUGCCUCCCCAGCCAGCCCACAUAGCCACAACAAUGUUGAACACAUGGUGGGAGACACAUCUUCUCCAUUAGAAGAUAGUAGAGACUGUCAGUGUUGUUGUUAGAUUAACUGGUCUUUGUAGGCAACUAGGACAACACAGGUGUCAUAAGAUUGUUGUUGAUGUUGUUGUUGAAGAGGUAAAAAAGAAGUUUGAUGCAGCUGAAGUGCCAACUGAUAUUGAGCAAAUCAAAAGCAACCACCUGAGAAAGCAACACUAUCAAAAUUUGGGUAUCUAUGUGCCGCCAACUCUGGUAAGAAUGGCAUAGGACAGAAGUGUGAUGAAAAUCACACAGACACUGCUGUUGCAUCACUGGCCACAGUGAGCAGCGACUUGUAGGGCAAGAGAGUCAACUGAAACUAACAUUAUGAUAUAGUGUCAUGCUCCCAUGUGACCACUUUUCAAGUUAUUUUGCAAGAUACAGCUCAACCUCCAGAAACGAGACUGCAAGUUGUCUGUAAAAAAGCUUUCACAAAAAAUUAUUCAUAACACCAUUAACAUAGCAGUAUCUUUUUUUUUGUGUCGGUUCGAGGUUCCCGGCUGUCCAUUAAUGCAAAAAUUGAGGAAAAAAAGAACAUGUGUCGUACUUACACCUUUUUAACAAGUACGAGGGGGACAGAACUUUUCUAGUCGUGCAUCUUCAUCAUACUAUCAAGUUUUUAAGUGCCUUUUAUAAUUAUUAUUACCAGUUAUAUCUGAGUGCAUUGUAUGCAUGUAGCAGGUGUAAAAUCAGGUCAGUUGGAUCAGAUGCCUUAUCUGCAAGCGAGCCCUAUAUUCAAGAAAUUUGAAAUAAAAUAGUUACGUUAGAGACGCAGUCUUUCAGCACUUUAUUGCCUGUGGUUUAAGCAUUGCUCAAUACUUUUGUGGGUGGCAAUUUCAACCGGCACAGCACUGCGCUUUGCCACAGUCACAUUUGUCUUCAAAGCGGUGUUUACCAUUUGUGUUGAUCUGUUUGUGUAUGCAUAGAGCAAGUUUUUAAUUUAUAUUUUUCUGCAUUCUUGUGCUUGCACUAAGCUUGUAUAAGGCAGUUACAAAAUGUGCGGCACUAUAACGAACUGUUCUGUUGAGCUUACACUUGCAAAUAAUCGUGUUCAGAUGGCCGCACUUCUAUGCGGGUGCACCGCUAGCUUUGUGUAUGUUCUCAUGUUUGUAUAAAGCUUAUAUAAGCUAGUUAGAAAAUGUAUGUCACUAAGCAUUGUGAUAUUCUUUAAAGAACUGCUUGGUUGGUUUUACACUUGUGAAUUAGUAUUGAGGUGGUGGUAUUCCCAUGUAUGCCCACUGCUAGCUUUCUGUGUCCUCACGUGUUUGUAUUAAGUUUCUACAAGGGAGUUACAGCAUGUACGUCACUAAGCGCUGUGAUAUUUUUUAAAGAACUGCUUUGUUGGUUUUACACCUGUGAGUAAUAGUACUCGUGUGGCACUAGUCAUGUGUAGGUACACAGGGACCAUUUGUAUACAUUAUGCUCAUGUAAAGCAGUUACAAAGUGUAUGUCACUAAUUACUGUGAUAUUUGUUGAAUUGCUGUGAUGGUUUUACACAUGUGAAUAAUAGUGGUCAGGACACAGUACUUGCGGUGUAUAGUUGAAUUUAUACACUGCCAAGACAUGGGCUGUAUACGUACCAAAAGAAAUGUAUGUCAUUAUAUUGUUGUGAUUAUUACUGUUUGGAUUUUAUUAAACUGUAAUAAAAUUGUUUCUUGUAUCUA